rnacentral:rRNA from 1 species
UACGGGGUAAGGGCAGUCGUUGUCCGGAAUCAUUGGGCGUAAAGAGCGUGUAGGCGGCCAGAUAAGUCCGCUGUGAAAUCUCGAGGCUCAACUUCGAGCUGUCGGUGGAAACUGUCUGGCUAGAGUCCGGAAGAGGAGAAUGGAAUUCCUGGUGUAGCGGUGAAAUGCGCAGAUAUCAGGAAGAACACCCGUGGCGAAGGCGGUUCUCUGGGCCGGUACUGACACUGAGGAGCGAAAGCGUGGGUAGCAAACAGG